UUAAUUUGAGAGUUUGAUCCUGGCUCAGGACGAACGCUGGCGGCGUGCCUAAUACAUGCAAGUCGAACGAACUCUGGUAAUGAUUGGUGCUUGCAUCAUGAAUUACAUUUGAGUGAGUGGCGAACUGGUGAGUAACACGUGGGAAACCUGCCCAGAAGCGGGGGAUAACACCUGGAAACAGAUGCUAAUACCGCAUAACAACUUGGACCGCAUGGUCCGAGUUUGAAAGAUGGCUUCGGCUAUCACUUUUGGAUGGUCCCGCGGCGUAUUAGCUAGAUGGUGAGGUAACGGCUCACCAUGGCAAUGAUACGUAGCCGACCUGAGAGGGUAAUCGGCCACAUUGGGACUGAGACACGGCCCAAACUCCUACGGGAGGCAGCAGUAGGGAAUCUUCCACAAUGGACGAAAGUCUGAUGGAGCAACGCCGCGUGAGUGAAGAAGGGUUUCGGCUCGUAAAACUCUGUUGUUAAAGAAGAACAUAUCUGAGAGUAACUGUUCAGGUAUUGACGGUAUUUAACC
rnacentral:rRNA from 2 species